GACGAACGCUGGCGGCGUGCUUAACGCAUGCAAGUCGAACGCUGAAGCUCAGCUUGCUGGGUGGAUGAGUGGCGAACGGGUGAGUAACACGUGAGUAACCUGCCCUCUUCUUUGGGAUAACGCCCGGAAACGGGUGCUAAUACUGGAUAUUCACUGAUUCUCGCAUGGGGGUUGGUGGAAAGGUUUUUUCUGGUGGGGGAUGGGCUCGCGGCCUAUCAGCUUGUUGGUGGGGUGAUGGCCUACCAAGGCUUUGACGGGUAGCCGGCCUGAGAGGGUGACCGGUCACAUUGGGACUGGGAUACGGCCCAGACUCCUACGGGAGGCAGCAGUGGGGAAUAUUGCACAAUGGGCGAAAGCCUGAUGCAGCGACGCCGCGUGAGGGAUGGAGGCCUUCGGGGUGUAAACCUCUUUCGCUCAUGGUCAAGCCGCAGCGUUGGGUUGUGGUGAGGGUAGUGGGUAAAGAAGCGCCGGCUAACUACGUG
rnacentral:rRNA from 1 species